rnacentral:rRNA from 1 species
GGAAUUACUGGGCGUAAAGCGUACGCAGGCGGUUUGUUAAGCGAGAUGUGAAAGCCCCGGGCUCAACUUGGGAACUGCAUUUCGAACUGGCAAACUAGAGUGUGAUAGAGGGUGGUAGAAUUUCAGGUGUAGCGGUGAAAUGCGUAGAGAUUUGAAGGAAUACCGAUGGCGAAGGCAGCCACCUGGGUCAACACUGACGCUCAUGUACGAAAGCGUGGGGAGCAAACAGGAUUAGAUACCC